UCCAGACUCCUACGGGAGGCAGCAGUGGGGAAUAUUGCACAAUGGGGGAAACCCUGAUGCAGCGACGCCGCGUGAGCGAUGAAGUAUCUCGGUAUGUAAAGCUCUAUCAGCAGGGAAGAAAGUGACAGUACCUGACUAAGAAGCCCCGGCUAACUACGUGCCAGCAGCCGCGGUAAUACGUAGGGGGCAAGCGUUAUCCGGAUUCACUGGGCGUAAAGGGAGCGCAGGCGGCACGGCAAGUCUGAAGUGAAAGCCCGUGGCUCAACCGCGGAACUGCUUUGGAAACUGUUAAGCUGGAGUACUGGAGAGGCAAGCGGAAUUCCUAGUGUAGCGGUGAAAUGCGUAGAUAUUAGGAGGAACACCAGUGGCGAAGGCGGCCUGCUGGACAGUAACUGACGUUGAGGCUCGAAAGCGUGGGGAGCAAACAGGAUUAGAUACCCGUGUA
rnacentral:rRNA from 1 species